CGGACGGGUGAGUAACACGUGGGUAACCUGCCUGUAAGACUGGGAUAACUCCGGGAAACCGGGGCUAAUACCGGAUGCUUGAUUGAACCGCAUGGUUCAAUCAUAAAAGGUGGCUUUUAGCUACCACUUACAGAUGGACCCGCGGCGCAUUAGCUAGUUGGUGAGGUAACGGCUCACCAAGGCGACGAUGCGUAGCCGACCUGAGAGGGUGAUCGGCCACACUGGGACUGAGACACGGCCCAGACUCCUACGGGAGGCAGCAGUAGGGAAUCUUCCGCAAUGGACGAAAGUCUGACGGAGCAACGCCGCGUGAGUGAUGAAGGUUUUCGGAUCGUAAAACUCUGUUGUUAGGGAAGAACAAGUACCGUUCGAAUAGGGCGGUACCUUGACGGUACCUAACCAGAAAGCCACGGCUAACUACGUGCCAGCAGCCGCGGUAAUACGUAGGUGGCAAGCGUUGUCCGGAAUUAUUGGGCGUAAAGCGCGCGCAGGCGGUUUCUUAAGUCUGAUGUGAAAGCCCCCGGCUCAACCGGGGAGGGUCAUUGGAAACUGGGGAACUUGAGUGCAGAAGAGGAGAGUGGAAUUCCACGUGUAGCGGUGAAAUGCGUAGAGAUGUGGAGGAACACCAGUGGCGAAGGCGACUCUCUGGUCUGUAACUGACGCUGAGGCGCGAAAGCGUGGGGAGCGAACAGGAUUAGAUACCCUGGUAGUCCACGCCGUAAACGAUGAGUGCUAAGUGUUAGAGGGUUUCCGCCCUUUAGUGCUGCAGCAAACGCAUUAAGCACUCCGCCUGGGGAGUACGGUCGCAAGACUGAAACUCAAAGGAAUUGACGGGGGCCCGCACAAGCGGUGGAGCAUGUGGUUUAAUUCGAAGCAACGCGAAGAACCUUACCAGGUCUUGACAUCCUCUGACAACCCUAGAGAUAGGGCUUCCCCUUCGGGGGCAGAGUGACAGGUGGUGCAUGGUUGUCGUCAGCUCGUGUCGUGAGAUGUUGGGUUAAGUCCCGCAACGAGCGCAACCCUUGAUCUUAGUUGCCAGCAUUCAGUUGGGCACUCUAAGGUGACUGCCGGUGACAAACCGGAGGAAGGUGGGGAUGACGUCAAAUCAUCAUGCCCCUUAUGACCUGGGCUACACACGUGCUACAAUGGGCAGAACAAAGGGCAGCGAAGCCGCGAGGCUAAGCCAAUCCCACAAAUCUGUUCUCAGUUCGGAUCGCAGUCUGCAACUCGACUGCGUGAAGCUGGAAUCGCUAGUAAUCGCGGAUCAGCAUGCCGCGGUGAAUACGUUCCCG
rnacentral:rRNA from 1 species